rnacentral:tRNA from 1 species
UUAAUUGAAACCAAAAAGAGGUAUAUCACUGUUAAUGAUAAUAUUGAAUAACA